ACCACGGCCUAUUAUCCAUUCCCUCCACCACCACCAGGCACGCGCCGCCACGCGCAGCCGUUUGCCGCCAGAGUCCACGCCGCAGGAGCCAAGGAGGCGGGCGUACGCGUUGCCCGAGCCCAGGAAUGGGGCGAGGCGUCGCGGCUGGCGUUGGCGAAUCCAUUCCCGGCGGCGGCGGCUUCCGGCGAGGAGGCGAGCGAGCUCGGGGAGCUCCGGCGGGGGCUUGUCGCCGGCGAGGCGAGGCCGAGGCGGCGGUGCGCGGGCGCGAGGAGGCGGGGUCGAGGAGGCGCAGGAGGACGCCGGGCGGGGGCUUGGCGAGGGCGACGGCGGUUGCGAGGGCUUGGCGGCGACUGGCGUGCUCGCUUGGGAGGAUGGAGGCUGCCUCGCCAGGGCUCGGGCGCGGCAGUACGGCGUCGGCACGUUGCCGAUGUCGCCGGGGCCGGGGCGGUGGUUUGACGGGCGACGAGGAGGAGGUGCUGUCCUAGAGCCAGCGACGGCGGCUGCAGCUUGACGAUGCGGGCGUGAACUGCUUGCUUCAGGGGCUGCGGGCCGUGAGCGGCGCUGUGCUUGCACGCGAGACCUGUGUCUGAUUUGGAAAGAAUCAAUCCGUUGAAGGAGAAGGCCAAUGCAACUGCUCUCUAGAUAGGCACUCGAGUGUCCAUCCCAAUGGAAUGGUAUAAAUUGCUGCUGGUACUGAACAUUGACAGGUAAAACUUAGCAUAUCCAGAAAUACAUCAUUAUAAGCUACUUCCAUAGAUGCAUCUAGAUCAUAGCAUCUGAACUUGAGGAUAGCAGACAAAAAUUCAAACAGAAAGCAAGCUACGCUCCAUAUUGUGUUCUUUGUAUCCCAUAUCGAAUAACAGGUUCGUAUUUGAUUGGUUUCUUCACAGCAGCGCAUGGACGAUAAAAGAUCUCUGUUUUGAUAUAUUUCUAUGCCAUGAUUUGUCUAUUGCCACUGUUUCUGAAUUUUUUUUCAUCCAUAAAUCAUGCGACUCAAGUCAAUUUGAGAUCGAAUUUGUUCAUGAGGUCAAGACGGAACCUUGCGACAGCUCCAGGUUAACAUACAUCCAUACUGAAUUUUCUUGGCAUAAUUGUAAAGACUGUUCUAUGUAUUUUUGUGGCAGCAACGUGAGGUUUUUAAUUGGUAUUGUGCUUGAAACAAAGUUGCAUGAUACAUAUUUCCUACAAUCAUUUUGAAAGGUUUGCCACCUUUUUGUAGGUUAUAAGGUAGGUCCUGAAUUCUUGGCAGAUAUUGUAUGAACGCCUAUUCAGAGUAUUUCGCCCUUGAUUGCAAAGAUAUUAUCUUACAGAUAACCUUUGACUUCUCGAUGAACUCUGUACUGUCAGUAUUUGUGCACAAUGCACAUUCUGAAACUUACAACUAUUAGUGAUCAAUGAGAAAAGAACACUUGAUCCUCGAUUCUUAAACUAUCAUCUUACUCAUAACCAUGUACUACUCAGUGAACUCUAUAUAUCUAUCAGUAGUUGGAAGCACUACAAAGCAGUGUCAAAUUCAGUAUUAUAUGUACAUGAGUUUGCUUAUUUCAGGCAAGCAACAACAAACAGACUUUGUUGUUUUUAGUCUAAUGCGAUAUUUGUUGGGCAUCACGGAGGAAUGCCAGCAAAGGCGUGAAGAAAUACUCGUAAUCAGUGUGACAUGUCGUGUGAGAUGAAGGUGGCAAACCAUCACUUGAAGCCAAGCAUGUGGUGGAUCCGGCAUGGAUGAUGGAUGGACCGAUGAGUGUAGAAGUUUGAGCUGUGAAACUUUGUGCGAUCGAGCUCCUGGUGCAAUUAAGCAUAUGGCUUUUGUGAUGUGUCAUGUAGGCAGUGAUUGACUAUAUUUCUUUCCCUCUUAAAUUUGUUGUAAUAAGGUUACCCUUUACAGAAGAAAGAUUGAACCGCCUUUUGGUUUA